rnacentral:rRNA from 1 species
GACGAACGCUGGCGGCGUGCUUAACACAUGCAAGUCGAACGGAAAGGCCCUGCUUGCAGGGUACUCGAGUGGCGAACGGGUGAGUAACACGUGGGUGAUCUGCCCUGCACUUCGGGAUAAGCUUGGGAAACUGGGUCUAAUACCGGAUAGGAACCAUCUUUAGUGUGGUGGUUGGAAAGUUUUUUCGGUGUAGGAUGAGCUCGCGGCCUAUCAGCUUGUUGGUGGGGUAAUGGCCUACCAAGGCGGCGACGGGUAGCCGGCCUGAGAGGGUGUACGGCCACAUUGGGACUGAGAUACGGCCCAGACUCCUACGGGAGGCAGCAGUGGGGAAUAUUGCACAAUGGGCGCAAGCCUGAUGCAGCGACGCCGCGUGGGGGAUGAAGGCCUUCGGGUUGUAAACUCCUUUCGCUAGGGACGAAGCUUUGUUGUGACGGUACCUAGAGAAGAAGCACCGGCUAACCACGUG